CAAGUCCCGUCAGGGUCGCGGAUCACUUUUGUGGUCAGUGGCGCGGUAGCUCAGUCGGUAGAGCGUCCGCCUGAAA
rnacentral:tRNA from 1 species